ensembl:rRNA 5S_rRNA 5S ribosomal RNA
GUCUACGGCCAUACCACCCUGAACGCACCUGAUCUCGGAAGCUAAGCAGGCUCGGGCCUGGUUAAUACUUGGAUGGGAGACUGCCUGGGAAUACUGGGUGCUGUAGGUU